GAUGAAGAACGUAGCGAAAUGCGAUAAGUAAUGUGAAUUGCAGAAUUCAGUGAAUCAUCGAAUCUUUGAACGCACAUUGCGCCCUCUGGUAUUCCGGGGGGCAUGCCUGUUCGAGCGUCAUUAUAACCACUCAAGCUCUCGCUUGGUAUUGGAGUUCGCGAUCUCGCGGCUCCUAAAAUCAGUGGCGGUGCCUGUCGGCUCUACGCGUAGUAAUACUCCUCGCGAUUGAGUCCGGUAGGUUUACUUGCCAGCAACCCCCAAUUUUUACAGGUUGACCUCGGAUCAGGUAGAGAUACCCGCUGAACUUAAGCAUAUCAAUAAGCGGAGGA
rnacentral:misc_RNA from 1 species